rnacentral:rRNA from 1 species
UACGGCGAGUGAGCGGCAAAAGCUCAAAUUUGAAAUCUGGUACCUUCGGUGCCCGAGUUGUAAUUUGGAGAGGGCAACUUUGGGGCCGUUCCUUGUCUAUGUUCCUUGGAACAGGACGUCAUAGAGGGUGAGAAUCCCGUGUGGCGAGGAGUGCGGUUCUUUGUAAAGUGCCUUCGAAGAGUCGAGUUGUUUGGGAAUGCAGCUCUAAGUGGGUGGUAAAUUCCAUCUAAAGCUAAAUAUUGGCGAGAGACCGAUAGCGAACAAGUACAGUGAUGGAAAGAUGAAAAGAACUUUGAAAAGAGAGUGAAAAAGUACGUGAAAUUGUUGAAAGGGAAGGGCAUUUGAUCAGACAUGGUGUUUUGUGCCCUCUGCUCCUUGUGGGUAGGGGAAUCUCGCAUUUCACUGGGCCAGCAUCAGUUUUGGUGGCAGGAUAAAUCCAUAGGAAUGUAGCUUGCCUCGGUAAGUAUUAUAGCCUGUGGGAAUACUGCCAGCUGGGACUGAGGACUGCGACGUAAGUCAAGGAUGCUGGCAUAAUGGUUAUAUGCCGCCCGUCUUGAA